rnacentral:rRNA from 1 species
GGAAUUUUGGACAAUGGGCGCAAGCCUGAUCCAGCCAUGCCGCGUGAGUGAAGAAGGCCUUCGGGUUGUAAAGCUCUUUCGGUGGAGACGAAACGGUUCGUGUUAAUAACACGGACUACUGACGGGACCCACAGCAGAAGCAACGGCUAACUACGCGCCAGCCGCCGAGGUAAUACGUAGGGUGCAGGCGUUAAUCGGAAUUACUGGGCGUAAAGCGUGCGCAGGCGGUCUGUUAAGACAGGUGUGAAAUCCCCGAGCUCAACUUGGGAAUUGCGCUUGUUACUGGCAGGCUAGAGUGUAGCAGAGGGGGGUGGAAUUCCACGUGUAGCAGUGAAAUGCGUAGAUAUGUGGAGGAACACCGAUGGCGAAGGCAGCCCCCUGGGUUAACACUGACGCUCAGGCACGAAAGCGUGGGGAGCAAAC